rnacentral:rRNA from 1 species
UGACCUGGAGCGAAUCUCAGAAAUAACGUCUCAGUUCGGAUUGUAGUCUGCAACUCGACUACAUGAAGCUGGAAUCGCUAGUAAUCGCGGAUCAGAAUGCCGCGGUGAAUACGUUCCCGGGUCUUGUACACACCGCCCGUCACACCAUGGGAGUCGGGAAUGCCCGAAGCCAGUGACCCAAGCGAGAGCAGGGAGCUGUCGAAGGCAGGCCGGAUAACUGGGGUGAAGUCGUAACAAGGUAAC